GCGCCGGUGGUGUAAGGCGAACAUCGCUGCCCGGAAAGCAGAAGAUGCGGGUUCGAGUCCCGGUUGGCGCA
rnacentral:tRNA from 1 species